GAUAAACGCUGGCGGCGUGCCUUAUGCAUGCAAGUCGUACGUGAGACCGGCUUCGGCCGGUUGAAAGUGGCGAACGGGUGAGUAACACGUAGGAACCUGCCCGGAAGUAGGGGAUAACUCCGCGAAAGCGGGGCUAAUACCGCAUGUGGUCGCAAGACCAAAGCUUCGGCGCUUCCGGAGGGGCCUGCGGCGGAUUAGCUAGUUGGUGGGGUAACGGCCUACCAAGGCGACGAUCCGUAGCUGGUCUGAGAGGAUGGUCAGCCACACUGGAACUGAGACACGGUCCAGACUCCUACGGGAGGCAGCAGCAAGGAAUUUUGCGCAAUGGGCGAAAGCCUGACGCAGCAACGCCGCGUGGGGGAAGAAGGCCUUCGGGUUGUAAACCCCUUUUGCGAGGGAAGAAGAUCUGACGGUACCUCGCGAAUAAGCCACGGCUAACUACGUGCCAGCAGCCGCGGUAA
rnacentral:rRNA from 1 species